GGGGGCACCCUGACCGAGCAACGCCGCGUGAGUGAAGAAGGUUUUCGGAUCGUAAAGCUCUGUUGUAAGUCAAGAACGAGUGUGAGAGUGGAAAGUUCACACUGUGACGGUAGCUUACCAGAAAGGGACGGCUAACUACGUGCCAGCAGCCGCGGUAAUACGUAGGUCCCGAGCGUUGUCCGGAUUUAUUGGGCGUAAAGCGAGCGCAGGCGGUUUGAUAAGUCUGAGGUUAAAGGCUGUGGCUCAACCAUAGUUCGCUUUGGAAACUGUCAAACUUGAGUGCAGAAGGGGAGAGUGGAAUUCCAUGUGUAGCGGUGAAAUGCGUAGAUAUAUGGAGGAACGCCGGUGGCGAAAGCGGCUCUCUGGUCUGUAACUGACGCUGAGGCUCGAAAGCGUGGGGAGCGAACAGGAUUAGAUACCCUGGUAGUCCACGCCGUAAACGAUGAGUGCUAGGUGUUGGAUCCUUUCCGGGAUUCAGUGCCGCAGCUAACGCAUUAAGCACUCCGCCUGGGGAGUACGACCGCAAGGUUGAAACUCAAAGGAAUUGACGGGGGCCCGCACAAGCGGUGGAGCAUGUGGUUUAAUUCGAAGCAACGCGAAGAACCUUACCAGGUCUUGACAUCCCGAUGCUAUUUCUAGAGAUAGAAAGUGACUUCGGUACAUCGGUGACAGGUGGUGCAUGG
rnacentral:rRNA from 1 species